CAAAAGCCUCUCUCAAACAAUUCAUUUUGUUCAGGCCUCCAAAUAUUUUUUUCAGAUUUUUUCCUGAUCUCUCUGGAAUUUUCACAAUCCCUGCAAUAGAGGAUGAAAGCUCCUUUGCCAGGUGGCUCAGACUCUCCAGGUAAACAAACAAAAGACACAGCAAGUGCCUCCCUUGUACACAAGCUGCCACAGGUAUAUGAAAAUGCCAUUAAUUUUAACAGAAGUUCCUCAAAGGAGGAACUGAGUACAUGCAUAGACCUUGGGCUUGCAGGAUUCACCUGAUUAAAGCAGACAAGACUUUUCCUUGUUGGACAGCAAGAACAAAACCCCACAAAUUCAUUCUAGACAUGAACUAUUCCAGCUUGAAUAGAAGAAUAAGCCCAUUUUCCCCAAUAAAAGCUAGCAUUGUCACAAAAAGCUCCUGCCUCACCUCUGGGAGGCUGUGUCAGCAUUUGUGUUACCAAUUCUCCACCACUGAGGUGGCUCCUCCUCAAAUACCACCCAG